rnacentral:tRNA from 1 species
AUUUAAAUAACUUAAAAUAAAGUAUAAUAUUGAAAAUAUUAAAAUGAUUUAUAAAUCUUUAAAUA